rnacentral:rRNA from 1 species
CCCGACUGCUAUCAGAGUGGGACUAAGCCAUGCGAGUCAACAUAGCAAUAUGUGGCAUACGGCUCAGUAACACGUAGUCAACAUGCCCAGGGGACGUGGAUAACCUCGGGAAACUGAGGAUAAACCGCGAUAAGUCACUACUUCUGGAAUGGGUAAUGACUCAAAUCUACAUGGCCCCUGGAUUGGACUGCGGCCGAUCAGGCUGUUGGUGAGGUAAUGGCCCACCAAACCUGUAACCGGUACGGGCUCUGAGAGGAGGAGCCCGGAGAUGGGCACUGAGACAAGGGCCCAGGCCCUAUGGGGCGCAGCAGGCGCGAAACCUCUGCAAUAGGCGAAAGCCUGACAGGGUUACUCUGAGUGAUUUCCGUUAAGGAGAUCUUUUGGCACCUCUAAAAAUGGUGCAGAAUAAGGGGUGGGCAAGUCUGGUGUCAGCCGCCGCGGUAAUACCAGCACCCCGAGUGGUCGGGACGUUUAUUGGGCCUAAAGCAUCCGUAGCCGGUUCUACAAGUCUUCCGUUAAAUCCACCUGCUUAACAGAUGGGCUGCGGAAGAUACUAUAGAGCUAGGAGGCGGGAGAGGCAAGCGGUACUCGAUGGGUAGGGGUAAAAUCCGUUGAUCCAUUGAAGACCACCAGUGGCGAAGGCGGCUUGCCAGAACGCGCUCGACGGUGAGGGAUGAAAGCUGGGGGAGCAAACCGGAUUAGAUACCCGGGUAGUCCCAGCUGUAAACGAUGCACACUCGGUGAUGAGUUGGCUUUAUGCCAACUCAGUGCCGCAUGGAAGCCGUUAAGUUUGCCGACUGGGGAG